rnacentral:rRNA from 1 species
CAGUCGCCACGGGAAUACAGAGGGUGCGAGCGUUAAUCGGAUUUACUGGGCGUAAAGCGUGCGUAGGCGGCUAAUUGAGUCGGAUGUGAAAUCCCCGAGCUUAACUUGGGAAUUGCAUUCGAUACUGGUUAGCUAGAGUGUGGGAGAGGAUGGUAGAAUUCCAGGUGUAGCGGUGAAAUGCGUAGAGAUCUGGAGGAAUACCGAUGGCGAAGGCAGCCAUCUGGCCUAACACUGACGCUGAGGUACGAAAGCAUGGGGAGCAAACAGGAUUAGAUACCCGUGUAGUCCCUGUCUCUUAUAC